rnacentral:rRNA from 1 species
AUUGAACGCUGGCGGCAGGCCUAACACAUGCAAGUCGAGCGAGCGGCGGACGGGUGAGUAAUGUCUGGGAAACUGCCUGAUGGAGGGGGAUAACUACUGGAAACGGUAGCUAAUACCGCAUACCAUCAGAUGUGCCCCGAUGGGAUUAGCUAGUAGGUGGGGAAAUGGCUCACCUAGGCGACGAUCCAUAGCUGGUCGGAGAGGAUGACCAGCAACACUGGAACUGAGACAGGGUCCAGACUCCUCCGUGAGGAAUCAGUGGGGAAUAUUGCCCAAGGGGGGCAAGCCUGCUGCAGCCAGGCCGCGUGUGUGAAGCAGGCUUUCGGGUUGUAAAGCACUUUCAGCGGGGAGGCGUUACCCGCAGAAGAAGCACCGGCUAACUCCGUGCCAGCCGCCGCGGUAAUAC